CAUUUACAUGAAAGGAAAAGAGUUUAGCAUUGACUCUGAAAAGGACAGAAGAGUCACUUGGGCCAAACAACAUAAAGAUAUAUAAGGCAUUAUCAGCUACUUUCUGGCAUCUAACUAGUUUUUUAA